GACGAACGCUGGCGGCGUGCCUAAUACAUGCAAGUAGAACGAAGUUGCGAACGGGUGGGUAACGCAUAGUUAACUGACUGGGAGCGGGGGGUAACUAUUGGAAACUAUAGCUACAACCGCAUACUACCCGAUGGACCUGCGUUGUAUUAGCUAGUUGGUGGGGUAACGGCCCACCAAGGCAAUGAUACAUAGCCGGCCUGAGAGGGUGAGCGGCAACACUGGGACUGAGACACGGCCCAGACUCCUACGGGAGGCAGCAGUAGGGAAUCUUCGGCAAUGGGGGGAAGCCUGACCGAGCAACGCCGCGUGAGUGAAGAAGGUUUUCGGGUCGUAAAGCUCUGUUGAUAAGGAAGCGGUACCUGAACAGAAAGCGACGGCUAACUACGUGCCAGCAGCCGCGGUAAUAC
rnacentral:rRNA from 1 species